rnacentral:misc_RNA from 1 species
GAUGAAGGACGCAGCGAAAUGCGAUAAGUAAUGUGAAUUGCAGAAUCCAGUGAAUCAUCGAAUCUUUGAACGCACAUUGCGCCCGCCAGCAUUCUGGCGGGCAUGCCUGUUCGAGCGUCAUUUCAACCCUCGACCUCCCUUUGGGGAAGUCGGCGUUGGGGACCGGCAGCACACCGCCGGCCCUGAAAUGGAGUGGCGGCCCGUCCGCGGCGACCUCUGCGUAGUAAUCCAACUCGCACCGGAACCCCGACGCGGCCACGCCGUAAAACACCCAACUUCUGAACGUUGACCUCGAAUCAGGUAGGACUACCCGCUGAACUUAAGCAUAUCAAUAAGCGGAGGA